rnacentral:rRNA from 1 species
UACAGAGGUCUCAAGCGUUGUUCGGAUUCAUUGGGCGUAAAGGGCGUGUAGGCGGUCCGCUAAGUCUGAUGUGAAAGCCCGGGGCUCACCCCCGGAAGUGCAUUGGAAACUGGCGAACUCGAGUCCCGGAGAGGAGAGUGGAAUUCCUGGUGUAGCGGUGAAAUGCGUAGAUAUCAGGAGGAACACCGGUGGCGAAGGCGGCUCUCUGGACGGUGACUGACGCUGAGACGCGAAAGCGUGGGGAGCAAACAGG